rnacentral:rRNA from 1 species
CAGUAGCCACGGGAACACGUAGGUGGCAAGCGUUGUCCGGAAUUACUGGGCGUAAAGCGUGCGCAGGCGGUUCUAUAAGACAGAUGUGAAAUCCCCGGGCUCAACCUGGGAACUGCAUUUGUGACUGUAGAGCUGGAGUGCGGCAGAGGGGGAUGGAAUUCCGCGUGUAGCAGUGAAAUGCGUAGAUAUGCGGAGGAACACCGAUGGCGAAGGCAAUCCCCUGGGCCUGCACUGACGCUCAUGCACGAAAGCGUGGGGAGCAAACAGGAUUAGAUACCCCAGUAGUCCCUGUCUCUUAUAC